UACAGAGGGUGCAAGCGUUAAUCGGAAUUACUGGGCGUAAAGCGUGCGUAGACGGUUAUGUAAGUCAGAUGUGAAAGCCGCGGGCUCAACCUGGGAAUUGCAUUUGAGACUGCAUAGCUAGGGUGCGGAAGAGGGAAGCGGAAUUUCCGGUGUAGCUGUGAAAUGCGUAGAUAUCGGAAGGAACACCAGUGGCGAAAGCGGCUUCCUGGUCCAGCACCGACGUUCAGGCACGAAAGCGUGGGGAGCAAACAGG
rnacentral:rRNA from 1 species